GACAGAGGGGGCAAGCGUUGCUCGGAAUUACUGGGCGUAAAGGGCGCGUAGGCGGGAUGGCAAGUCGGUCGUGAAAUCCUUCGGCUCAACCGAAGAACGUCGAUCGAUACUGCUGUUCUUGAGGGUUGCAGAGGAGACUGGAAUUCCCGGUGUAGCGGUGAAAUGUGUAGAGAUCGGGAGGAAUACCGGUGGCGAAGGCGGGUCUCUGGGCAUUUCCUGACGCUGAGGUGCGAAAGCGUGGGGAGCAAACGGG
rnacentral:rRNA from 1 species